rnacentral:rRNA from 1 species
UACAGAGGUCUCAAGCGUUGUUCGGAUUCAUUGGGCGUAAAGGGUGCGUAGGCGGCGCGGUAAGUCGGGUGUGAAAGCCCUCAGCUCAACUGAGGAAGUGCGCCCGAAACUGCAGAGCUUGAGUACCGGAGAGGAUGGCGGAAUUCCCCAAGUAGAGGUGAAAUUCGUAGAUAUGAGGAGGAACACCGGUGGCGAAGGCGGCCAUCUGGACGGAUACUGACGCUGAGACGCGAAAGCGUGGGGAGCAAACAGG